UUCAUGUAUAUCGUGAUUACUUGAUUAUACGUCGUGCGGUUGACUGAAAACUGUGAGACCGUUGUGUUUUGUGUUGUUGGAUUAGCUUGUGUAAUGAUUAUUGAAAUAUGCAAAACGACAGGACAUGAUAGAAACUAAAUACGCAUUUUAAUAAGGUGGAUUUAACAACUGCUUGCUGGCUACAGAGAUCAAAGGGGUCCUGACUAUUCGCAAACAAUGGAUCGUAGAGGUCGGGGGCUGAAGACUGGGCAGGUGGUGGUGUUGGCUGAUGGAUACUGGUUACCGGAGACUGAGGCAUCAGGGAAUCUAGCCAGUCCGGGUCGUCCAUAUCCAUGGGCAUGUCACCGAUAUCCAUCAACUCCUGUGGAGUUUCCAUUUUCACGCCGAGAUCACAGUCCAGUGGUCCAAAAUCCAUCGGAUCCAAAGUUUCCAGAUCAAGACCCAAUUCCUGAAGGAAAAUCACAUGACCAACCAAUUUCAGAAAAGAUUCGAUAGUGAGUUUGAAAAAUAUUGUAGAACAGUUUUUCCCGAAAAUAUUAGGUCAUUGAAAAUAAAACAAAUUAUUGUUUCCACCUUGGCUUUACUACGGUUUGUAAAUAAAAUAUUUCCAUUCAACUGUGAUAUGUGGUUGACAUAAAAGAUUGUUGGCAAUUUU